rnacentral:rRNA from 1 species
ACGCUCGACACCUACGGGGGGCAGCAGUGGGGAAUAUUGCACAAUGGGGGAAACCCGUGAUGCAGCGACGCCGCGUGAGUGAAGAAGUAUUUCGGUAUGUAAAGCUCUAUCAGCAGGGAAGAAAAUGACGGUACCUGACUAAGAAGCCCCGGCUAACUACGUGCCAGCAGCCGCGGUAAUCUGAGCGGGCUGGCAAGGC